ACGGCUCAGUAACACGUGGAUAACCUGCCCUAAGGAAGGGGAUAACCUCGGGAAACUGAGGAUAAUACCCUAUAGGAUACCGAUGCUGGAAUGCCCGGUAUCCCAAAGCUCCGGCGCCUUAGGAUGGAUCUGCGGCCGAUUAGGCCGUUGUUGGGGUAACGGCCCAACAAGCCGAUAAUCGGUACGGGUUGUGGGAGCAAGAGCCCGGAGUUGGAUUCUGAGACACGAAUCCAGGCCCUACGGGGCGCAGCAGGCGCGAAAACUUUACAAUGCGGGCAACCGUGAUAAGGGAACCUCGAGUGCCUGUACAUGCAGGCUGUCUGGGUGUCUAAAACACACCCAAAGAAAGGGCCGGGCAAGACCGGUGCCAGCCGCCGCGGUAAUACCGGCGGCUCGAGUGGUGGCCACUUUUAUUGGGCUUAAAGCGUUCGUAGCUGGGUUGUUAAGUCUCUUGGGAAAUCUGGCAGCUUAACUGUCAGGCGUCUAAGAGAUACUGGCAAUCUAGGAACCGGGAGAGGUGAGGGGUACUUCGGGGGUAGGAGUGAAAUCCUGUAAUCCUCGAGGGACCACCUGUGGCGAAGGCGCCUCACCAGAACGGCUUCGACAGUGAGGGACGAAAGCUGGGGGAGCAAACCGGAUUAGAUACCCGGGUAGUCCCAGCCGUAAACGAUGCGCGUUAGGUGUGUCGAUGACCACGAGUCAUCGAGGUGCCGAAGGGAAACCGUGAAACGCGCCGCCUGGGAAGUACGGUCGCAAGGCUGAAACUUAAAGGAAUUGGCGGGGGAG
rnacentral:rRNA from 1 species